UUCUUCUUCUUCUUUCAUUCCUUGACACAGCCAUGCUUGAUCACCGGCGAGAACCAGCCAGGAACCAUGUCUCUUCAUUCCCUGCAGUCAACAAAAGUCAGGCCAGUGCAGGAGAUCCAGAAUUUGACUUCUGGGCUGCACGUGAAACCCGGUGUUAUGGAAGUUCAAUCAGGGACUCCAACGGCGGUGAUACAGGGUUUCAAGUCCAUACACAUGGUGGAGAAGGCUUUGGCAGUUACUCCCCGUCCUUGUGGAAAACAAGUAAGUCAAGAAAUACAAUGCAGGAAUCCUCUCCCUU
rnacentral:lncRNA from 1 species